rnacentral:rRNA from 1 species
AUUGAACGCUGGCGGCAUGCCUUACACAUGCAAGUCGAAUGGUAACAGGUCUUCGGAUGCUGACGAGUGGCGAACGGGUGAGUAAUACAUCGGAACGUGCCUAGUAGUGGGGGAUAACUACUCGAAAGAGUGGCUAAUACCGCAUGAGAUCUACGGAUGAAAGCAGGGGAUCGCAAGACCUUGUGCUACUAGAGCGGCCGAUGGCAGAUUAGGUAGUUGGUGGGAUAAAAGCUUACCAAGCCGACGAUCUGUAGCUGGUCUGAGAGGACGAUCGGCCGCACUGGGACUGAGACACGGCCCAGACUCCUACGGGAGGCAGCAGUGGGGAAUUUUGGACAAUGGGCAAAAGCCUGAUCCAGCAAUGCCGCGUGCAGGAUGAAGGCCUUCGGGUUGUAAACUGCUUUUGUACGGAACGAAAAGCCCUGGGUUAAUACCCUGGGGUCAUGACGGUACCGUAAGAAUAAGCACCGGCUAACCACGUGCCAGCCGCCGCCGUAA